UUGCUAGGUAUGUGCAUCCACAUGUAGAAAGCAAGAGACCUCUUCCCUGACAGUAGGGACAAUCGACUCCAGCACUUGUAUCACCAACAAUACAAGGUGGAUCUGGUUUCUUCCUUUUCCUUUCCUAACAUUUGACUGCAAAGUGAAGUAUCACAGAAACCCCCAAAACCUUUAGUCAUUACAAGCACAAACAACCGAAAAAUAAGGAGCAAUCUGUACCAACAUGUAUAAAAUUUUCCACUAAAUUAUUAUAAAAUUCUUUACCUUAAGUCCUUUUUGCCAAUUUUAGCAAUUUUAGUAUUCACCAAACUUUGCNNNNNNNNNNNNNNNNNNNNAAUGACAAAAAAGAGGUCCAACUUCUAAUUUAGUGGAAAGCAAGAGAGACCUCUUCCCUGACAGUAGGGACAAUCGACUCCAGCACUUGUAUCACCAACAAUACAAGGUGGAUCUGGUUUCUUCCUUUUCCUUUCCUAACGUUUGACUGCAAAGUGCAGUAUCACAGAAACCCCCAAAACCUUUAGUCAUUACAAGCACAAACCACCGAAAAAUAAGGAGCAACCUGUGCCAACAUGUAUAAAAUUUUC
rnacentral:lncRNA from 1 species